UACAUAUACAAAAUAUAUAUGGUAAGUAUUAUUUCCAAGUGUUUUCUUCCUCUGCCUUUAAUAACUUUCCAAAAAUUUACUUCCUCUUUUCUUAACAAAACAAAGAAAAUAGCUCCAAAAAAUUGGGGAUUUUGCUUGAUUUUGACGCCCUUAACUUCUGGUAAAUUCUUUAUUUUUUAUUUCUAUUAGUGAAUUCACGUCUGAAAUUUAUGUUACUCUUGUGAUAUUGAUUUCUAUUGGUGAAUUUAUAUCUCAAGUUUUUAUGUUAGUGUUGUGAUAUUCUUAGCUUUUAGUGAACUUAUAUUUGCAAAUCAUUAAUCAGUGAUCCAAAUGUUAUGAAGAUUGUUGUUUUGUCAAUUUUAGCUCUGUUUUACUGCUUAUUUGAUGUUUUGGUAUGUUAAAGUUGAAAAUUAUGAGCAGACAGAUACCAUUUUCAAUACCUAAACCCAUAAAAUUUCAUUUGUUUUUACCCAAUUCGUUAAGCUCGGUGAGGUAGACUUGAAAGAUAGACCGUCCAUAAGGCGUUGACCUCAGUGAUGGAUCCAAAAGAUACACAGUCCACUGGGUAUCAACUCGGCGAGGUGAAUUCGAAAGAUAGACAGUUGAUGAGGAGGCAAAACUUUGUUUGAGGAAUGUUAAAAAAAACCUUUUAUAAAUGGUAUUUGUUUAAUAGAGAGUUGAUGAGAAGGCAUUUCUAAGAUAAAAGAAGGUAUAGUUCUUUCAAUUUCGCAUCCCGAUUUAGAAUCCAUAGUAGCCAAAAAAAGGUUGUUUAAUAUUUGCUGCAUUGUUUAAAAGCAUGGGCUACAUUUAGUUUGAAGAGAAAGAGCCACGAUAUUACAAGAUAAAAAGAAGGCAUAGCUCUUUCAAUUUCGUAUCCCAACAAGUUCUACUUGAUUCUCUAGAAAUUCAAGUCGAUAACGAUUGACGAGUCUUUAUAUUCUAUAGAGUUGAAGAAGUUUGAAACCCCAGCUGUUGAGGUUAGUCUUUAACUUCUUGUACUUAUAUUUAUCUCUAAUCUUUUCCGAUCCACUAUUUGACAUUGGUAAUCCUUACUUGUCUGAAAUUUUCUUGAGUCCCCCUAUAAUAAACACUGGCAUGAUCACUAGUGACAAAACUGCCAUUUGAGGCUUUUGGCGUACUCAAUAGCUUCAUUGGACAUAAACGCAGUCACAAUGAUAUUGUUUUCCCAACAUGUAAUAGCUACAUAGUCUUUGUAGCCACUAGGCUCUAAUUUCCAGUCCUUGAGGUUAUUAGUCUCCACAGCAAGGAGCCAACUAAGACAGUUCUAUUGUGGACUGCGAUGAUCAACAGUGCUGGUCUAUGGCAUUAGACGAGACAAAUCUAAAUUUGAAUUGUAAAUUGCAGAUUUUGUGAUUUUACUUAGUUGUCUGCCUCUUUAAUUUUCUGGUAAUGAGCUUAAUUUUACAUCAUCGAGUCUUCGUGUUAUUAAGAUUAAGAUAGCAACAUAUAUUUCCUGCAGUUACACAGAUUGGCCAUGGUCAUAUCUUCUUAAUUGUUGUUAGCAAAAUAAUGAUAUUUUUAUGUUAAUCUCAAUCUUAAGUACAACAUGUACACAUUUAGUCCUUUGAGAAAGUUACUUAUACUACAGAGUAAAAAAUUGGUUAAAUUGUGAGUAUCCCAUUGCUUGAAGAGGUUUGCUACAAUUUUGCAAGUUUUGCUUAAACCUAUAUUCGAUAUGGAAAGAGGCAAAAUAUGACUUACAAAAUGAUCCAUCUUUUUGUACGUUGUUCCGAUUAGAAGUUUUCUAUCCAUGGAUGCAAAUCUUACAUGGCCAUGGUGAAAAAGUAAAGGCCGUUAAAUACUUGUAAGACUCACUAGGCUGAUUAAUCUAAAUUUAUGUCGCGUAAGGUCUAUCAAAGGGGAAGCAAUUUUUACCAAGAGUUUUCCCAUUCGGGAGGAUCUAUUAGCCUCUGGAGUCUUACAUGCACAUUUCCAAAACCUCCAGCCUCUGAACACGCCAGAGCAAAAAUCCUGAAGCCUAAUUGUGCUCCAUCUUUAAACUGCUUUCUAUCUACACUGAAAAUCAAAAAGGGAGAAAGAGUAAAGAGCUCUUCUUUGCGUGCCUAUUUCAAACUGCUGCUACGCCAGCUGCUCUUCCACAAUAAAUUCUCUUUGUCACUAUAAAGCUUUCUUAUUCCUUCAUAAAAACCACCUUCCUCAUUGCCUACUUCUCUGUGAUCCUUUCGUUUGUAUAUACCUCGCGGUUAAAAACCUGAGCCGGGAACCAAAACUUGGUAGUAUCAAGGGAUAUGUACCAAUCCAUUAUUGAGCUCAUUGCUGAAGCAUCUCCAACCCUACCGUUAUCUUCAUUUCCUUUUGAUCUAUUCCAUAAAAAUUGCCUAAUCUUCAAAAAUUUCCUUCGAAAAAUCGCUCUUUUUUCUUGAAUUCUCCAACAGGGAAGCUUUAUUUGUUGAGGUAAUGUAGCUAGCUAGCAUUGCCAUUCUUUAUAGGCAGCUGAACCAAUCAAUGCACCCCAUUUUCGCUUCAUAUGUUUCUCCCAUAAAUGAUUACUUGUGCAUUUUUCUCUCAAACGAUUACAAACUGCAGCCAUACUAGAUAGACCAUCUGCAAUAUUCUCUUGCUCUUUCUCAUUUGGUAAACUUACAAAACUAUCAUCUAUUAUGAAAAUUAUUUCUGUUCAUGUUCUCUUUCUUCUUUAAAUAAUUUGAAGUGAACUGAAAACUUUGUAUCUAAUACUCCCUCGAUUUCAAUUUGUUUGUCUUUAAAGCCCAUUAUAAUGUGAUCGAAAGAAAAAACCAACACGAAAAAGGACAAGCUAACUAACUUUCAACUGUAGGUUAAAAAAUAAUCCAAGCAUACAAUUUUUAUGUGAUAUUAUUAUUUUCUUAAAAUAGCUUUUAUGUGAUAUUAUUAUCUUAAAAUAUUACAAAUACAUAUAUACAGAAUAACUAAACAAAAACCAAACAUAAAGGUUGAAAGUUGAUAAAUGUGUGGGGUCGAGGAAAUCUAACAUUGCAAAUGCAAUAAAAAAUAUCAGAAGCGAAGCUAAAAUGUCUACUCUUUUGGUUUAUCUGUUUGCUAAAUAAUUCUGUAGAUAAGAAGGGACUUUUUAAUAAAGAAUGUUGGUAUUCUUUAACUCUUAUUAGCUUUCCUUUCUUUGCGCUUUCAUAGGCGAACUUUUUAUUUAUGCUGUUGUACAGUCUUUCACUUAUAAGGUAAUGUUUCCAUUACCAGAUGUAAGUAUCAUUUAUGUUACAGAUUCUUAUUAUCUCUAAGGUCUUCAGUUACGUACUCUGUAAUUCUUGCAUAUGACUUAGGAUUUAAUGUAACUAUUACUACAUGUAUUACUAUAUGUAAAAUCUUAAUAAUUUCAUUUAUGUGUAUUUGGAUACUAAUAACUAAGAUGAAUUCAAGUCUUUAUAAUAGGUCGUACAAGCCCUUAUUCGUUUGGUUAUAGAAAUAGUUCUUGAAUAAAGAAUGUUAAUAUGCAGUACUAUAUGUAAAAUCCUCAUAAUUUCAUUUAUGGAUAUUUGAAUAGUAAUAACUAAGAUGAAUUCAAGUCUUUAUAGAAGGUCGUAGAAGCUUUUAUACGUUUGGUCAUAGGAACAACUUUUGAAUAAAGAAUGUUAAUAAUCUUCAAAUCUUAUUUGUUUUUCUUUCUUUGCAGUUGUAACUUUUGUACGCAAAUUCUCUACUUUUGUUGUUGUACAGAGUCUCACUUAGGAGUUAUCAGUUUAUACCAUAGUGAUUGUUGUUCUUUUGCAUGAUCAAACAUCUCGACUUUGGCUAUAGAAAAGAUGACAGAAAGACUAAAUAUACAUGCAAUCACCCCUCAAACACCUAAUUGGGUAUGCAAGGUCCAAGUUGUAGACAUGGGUAGAUCAGAAGAAGGUAUAAAACAAAAGAUAAAGUAUUUGAACAUGAUCUUUCAAGAUGAACAGGUAACUUCUUAUUUUUUAAAAUCAAAUCAUCUAGUUACAUUCCUUACUUCUACCUCUUAUAUUACUACUAUUGAAAAAAAUUAUCUUCAGGAAAAUCAGGUAAAAACAAUUAUUUAUAGUGAUGAUAUCCCCCUUUAUCAAGAUAUAUUUCACACAUAUUUGAUAACGGGUGCACGCGUAUAAUAACCAACUCUGAGAUAUGAAAUACCAGUGCAUACAUUCGACUGAAUUAUUGAUAAAAAGAUCAUAGUGGAUCCAAUUGAUAAAGUGAUUCAGAUGAAAUAGAGUUACAACCACCUCGAAUGGUCAAUGUCACAUCAUUUCAAGAUAUCAACAAUCAAGCCUCCCGAGCUUCAAAAGAACAACUUCAGAAAGAAGAAUACAAUGUGUUAGCAGUAGUUCUCAACUGUUUUGCUCCAAAAUAUGUUACCAGCAUUCAAAAAAAAUUGCAGGAACUCCUUGUUAUUGAUACCAAAUAAGCAUAUUUGCCAAGGGAAAAACUCUCAUUGAAGAAGAAGGUAAAAAGCUCCUCGCACAGUUUCAACAACAUCCAAUUAUCUGUAUCGGGCGUAUUGGAGUAUCCAAGUACAAUGGUUUGCCAACUUUUCUUUUGCAAUUACUUUUGAAUUUUGUGGAACAAAGGAGUUUGUGAAUUUUGUGAAAUAUUGUUCUUCCUUGUUUGCACCACUGUGAAGAUUUUUGGAGAAAAGAACUAUCAACUUACCCUCUAUUAUCUACCCAAAGGCCCAAUAGAUAUUUAGAGGGAAGAACUAGCUUACAUCAGGCAUUUGAAGACUCAGAAUAUUUUGGUAAAAAAAUCUUUCAAACUACUAAAUUCAUGUAACAAAUUAUGACCUUUUCCCCUUAUUUCAUUAUUUGUUUUCACAAGUGGGGACCCUCUUACUAACUAAGUAAAAAUCUGUGAUUUUGGAAACCAAAAGCAUUGGUAAAUGUAAAUAAAAAAAUUAUUUCUGUAGCUCUUCUCAGUUUACACCAUUAAUAUUACUAAUACAUUGACUUUACCAAAAUUCAAAACAAUAAUCUUUUGAAAUUUAUAAUAAUUGCCUCUUUUAUAAUUUCAACUGUAUAAAACUAAAGUAAAUAAAGCAAAAUCACCCAUAAGAUUUUUCUGCAAAAUGAUAUUAUUAUUUUACUUUACAAUACAUGCUUUUAUGCACCUCUAAGGAUAGUUGUCAACAUUGACCAUCAAGGUAAAAGUUCUUGUUGCAUAUGUUUCUCUUUUAUUCCAUGCCACCUCUUGUGCCUUAUCUUAGUUAUUUAACUAACGUCUUAAGGAUGGUUAACCUUACGACUUCUUCAAAGUGAUGCUAAUUGAAUUAACUAUUUUAAACUUAUCUAAACUAAUCUAGGAACUGUGCUAAUGAUGGUUUGAUUUUUUUAUUUUUUAAGAAAUUGUGCUAAUGAUGGUUUAAUGUUGAUUUUUAAUUGUUGGAUUGAUGAUUUAUUUGGUAAUCUCAUUUCACUGUGGUUUUAAGUGCAAGCAGUGCCAAAUACGUCUUAGGUUUGCAUUGGUGAUCAGAAAAAUAAGCUUCAUCGUAUCUCUACCAUAGAUUCUUUUCUUCGAUGGCUUCAUUGGUUAUGUUUUGUAUGAAGGGAAUCCUAGGUCUAGAAAUAAAAGUUCUGUUGUAUGGUUAGGGAUGGGUUGAUAAGGAACAAUAGCUCUGUUGGGUUGAGAUUGGUUAGGAGGUCCUUGAUAAGGUACCAUUGUUCUGGAUGAAAUAACUUGAUUAUGGGGAUAUUCUACGAGUAGUGUCUCUUUGGAGGGCUUUAAAACAGGCUUCAUAUGAUUUUUCCUAGCUAAUGUCUUGGUUUCUUCUUUCUGACCACUUAUGUAGUUAGCAAUGAAGUGAGUUUCAUUCAGCAGAGGAAGAGGAAGAUUACAUUUACUAGACUGGUGUUUGGUAUGUCCUAACGUUUAGCUGAGUAGUGGUUUGUACAGUAAGCUUCACAAAGGAAGACUAAAUAUUAUCACAAUAAUAUGAUUUGUAAAAUUUCACUUC